rnacentral:rRNA from 1 species
UACAGAGGGUGCGAGCGUUGUUCGGAAUUAUUGGGCGUAAAGGGCGCGUAGGCGGUGCGGUAAGUCACCUGUGAAAUCUCCUGGCUCAACUGGGAGCUUGCAGGCGAAACUGCCGUGCUGGAGUGUGGGAGAGGUGCGUGGAAUUCCUGGUGUAGCGGUGAAAUGCGUAGAUAUCAGGAGGAACACCUGUGGCGAAAGCGGCGCACUGGACCACAACUGACGCUGAGGCGCGAAGGUCAGGGGAGCAAACGGG